rnacentral:lncRNA from 1 species
GUGGACUUUCAGGCUCUGGGCUAACAUCAGAGCCACAUCCGUGCCCAUAUCGGCAACGAAGGAAGGCCAGCACCGUCUACAAACGGGGCCACAAAAGCGGAGAAAGCUUUGAGGCUAACCCAAGCUGGUCUGAGGAAUGCGAGGGUACAGAGAUGAGGACGGCUCGACGGAUGCCUAAGGCAAGGAAGGGAAGGCUGAAGAAGCUCCCGUACAAAGUGAGAUCCCAAAAGGGAGGGGAGGCAGGUUUAAAUAAGCAAUGAGAGCCG